GCUGCGAUGGCCGAGUGGUUAAGGCGUUGGACUUGAAAUCCAAUGGGAGAUUUCCCGCGCAGGUUCGAACCCUGCUCGCAGCG